GGCUCAAGUGAUCCUCUCGCCUUGGCCUCCCAAAGUGUCUGGAUCACAGGCAUGAGUUGCCACACCCGGUCUCCUCAUAUGACAGAGCAAGACAGAGGGAGACUCCAUCUUAAAAAAAAAAAUAAAAAAAGUGGAGAAGGAGAGAAGGGGUCAGGGAGGCAGCCAGGAGGGAAGAGUGAAGUAAGAAGCAGAUGAAGAGAAGCAGGGUGGGCACACACCCAGAGCCCCCCUGUGUCACCCGCCUGCUACCAGACCCAGGAGGGUCCCGUCGGGGUGGGGGUCCUGGGACUUAACUCCUCCUCCAGCCUCAGCCCUCCCGGUGCCAAGAUUCUUCAACGUCCUCGGGAUGCACCUCCGCACUGUGGGGCCAUCUGGGUCAGCCCGGACGCACCGGCCUCUGUCUGGGUCCCAGUCUUCUCACCGCCAGGCGGGCAGGUGAGGCCUCGGUCAUUCCAGGUGCAGCCUCGGAUCAGGGAUGACGGCCCAGGCUGAAGUAUCAUGAUGAAGAGCUUGGACCGAGGGCAGUUAAGGUGUUCUUAUAUGAAGAGGAGAUCAGGACACACACACACACAGAGGCACGACCCUGUGAGGACCCAGGAGGAAGACAGCGUCUGCAAACCAAGGAGACAGGCCUCAGUAGGAACCAGCCCUGCCCACGCCUUGGUCUCGGACUUCAGCCUCCAGGACUGUGAGGGAUGAAUGCCCAUGGCCGGCGUCGCUUGGUGUGUGGCGUUUGUUCCGGCAACCCUGGGAGGCUGGUGCGAUGUCUCUUUGGUCUUACUCUCUCCAUCGAGACCCUCUCGAAGGCCUGUCUGGGUUGAGGAGGGGGCGUGGAAGAUCCUGCCUCCUGGUGGGGAAGGUGUUGGGAGAGUGGUGGUACAGGGGGCGUUGUGGCAGUGGUUUGUGGGCCCCGCCUGCCACACAGCCCCCAUAGAGACUGAGAGUCCCCCAGCAGGUCUGAGGAGAGGGUGAGCUCUUGGGUGGGAUUCAGGCCGGGAGAGGGGUGGGGAGCAGGGCUGGGGGCUUUAGGCAGGCCCAGGUCCUCAGGACACAGGCAAGGGAGGCCAGAGAGGCAGCUGGGUCUCUGCGGUGGGCCGAGGAGUUCAGGAAGCCCGGCCUGGGCUGGAGAGAGUCCCAGGCUUGACCGGGGCCAUUUCUGUAACACUUCAGGGCAGGUGCACGGGGCUCAGAACCCCAGAUUGCAAAAAUGCAGCCCGGGAGGCUACCAGGAGGCUCCCGCCGCUCAGAGACGGAAGACGGCCCCCGUCACGGCUGCAGCAGGUGCUGCCAGGGACGCUGCUCGGAGCUCCAGGCUGCAGGGACAGGGCCACCCCGGGCCGCCCGCUCGCCCGGCCUGAUGUCUCCCACCCGGCACUUUGAUCCUCUGAAAGCCUGUAGACCGCGGGCUCUAUAACCUCAAGAUUUGUGUGCCGGGUGGGUCUGGAGGUCCCGCGUCUCAGCGGAUUUUAUUCCUCUCAUUAUUUUGCUUAACGGGCUGUUACUGCUGUGUCAGACAGCAUGGAGCGAAAAAUCACACUUUUUGGGAGAUGUUGUUCAAGAGAGAGACUGGAAAAGCAUGACUUAGUGGCGAAGGCUGCAGUGCUGAGCUACCACCUCCCGGAGCAGAGCCGAGGCCCUGAGGUGGGUGAGAGGGAGGUCCAGGCCCAGGGGCCAGGGGGAGCCCACAGCCACUCCUGGGGGGCUCCUCUGGAAGCCCUCCUGGGCAGGCAGGUCUCAGGGUCCCAGUCCAAGCCAGCGCUCAGCUUCAAGACUGGAAAAAACUGAACUUCUCCUUUCUCUUUUCUGUUUCUGCUUCUCCCAAGUCCCUCAGAUCCCCUCAUUCAUUCAUUCAUUCAUUCAUUCAUUCAUUCAUUCAUCCUUCCAUGAAUGAAAGGUCUCUUCAGUGUCAGAGGACACAGAAAUGAAUGAGAAAAAAAAUCUCUCUUUUCCUGGGGCCAAUAGAUGUGGACUUUGCCCUCGAGUACUGCUCUUUAAUUCCCUUUCUUUUAUCUUUAAAAUAAACUCCUUUAAAAACAGGCAGUUCAAGCCUGGGCAACGUGGCAAGACCCCAUCUGUAUAAAAUACAAAAAAAUUAGCCAGGUGUGGUGGUACGCUCCUGCAGUCCAAGGUACUUGGGAAGCUGAGGCAGGAGGAUCGCUUGAGCCCAGGAGAUCAAGGCAGCAGUGAGCCGAGAUCGUGCCACUGCACUUCUGCCUGGGUGACAGAGUGAGACCCUGUCUCAAAACAAAACAAAAAACCAGGCAACUCAGAUGGUUAAAUACAGACAUACCAUGUGACCCAGUCAUUCCACCCCUGGGAAUAUACCCGAGAGAAAUGGCUACAUAUAUCCACACAAGAACUUAUAUGUGAGUGAUCACAGCAGCUUUGUUCAUAAUAGCCAAAAAGUGGAAAUUGCGCCAACACCCCUCAGCUGAAGGCUGGGUGAACACAGGAGCUGGUGUAGCCACGAUGGAAUAUUAUCCGACAAUAGAAAGGAAUGAAGUUCCACACAGGCUGCAGCAUGGAUGAACACUGAAAAUAUUAGAGGCUUAGUUUAUUAUUUUAUUUUAUUUAUUUUUUUUUUUUUGAGAUGGAGUCUCGCUCUGUCACCCAGGCUGGAGUGCUGUGGCGUCAUCUCGGCUCACUGCAACCUCCACCUCCUGGGUUCAAAUGAUUCUCCUGUCUCAGCCUCCCGAGUAGCUGGGAUUACAGGUAUGUGCCACCACGCGCGGCUAGUUUUUGUAAUUUUAGUAGAGACGGGGUUUCCACCAUGUUGGCCAGGCUGGUCUCAAACUCCUGACCUCAAGUGAUCCGCCUGCCUCGGCCUCCCAAAGUGCUGGGAUUACAGGCGUGAGCCACUGUGCCUAGCCCAGAUGCUAAGUUUAAAAAGCCAGACACAAAAUACCACAUCUGUAGAAUUCCACUCAUGUGAAAUGCCCAGAAUAGGCAAUUCCAUGGAGACACAAAAUAGAGGCGUGGCUGUCAGGGGCUGAGAGGAAGGGUAGUGGGGAGUGAUGGCUUAAGGUGUGUGGGGUUUGUUUUUGGGGGUGAUGAAAACGGUCUAAAGUUGAUUGUGGUGAUGGUUGUACGACGCUGUGAAUACUCUAAGAAGCGUCGAAUUGUGUGCUUUACGUGGGUGAGUUGCAUGGCAUAUGAAUUAUAUCUUAGUAAAGCUGUUCGAAAAAUCACAGUGCCUAGGUAGAUUGUUAAAAGUAUCCGUUAUUUUCUGUAGAAUAUUUAAAAUAGUGCCUGAGACAUGCUGGAUGUUCAAUAAAUGUUAGCUAUUAAAAAUAAUACAUUCCUUUUAAGCACCUGCAGCCCUGCCUCCUCCAGGAAGCCACGGGGCCCUGACAGGAAAGGCCUCUGCGGGGGCUUCCUCAAGACCCCUGCCACCCCCGGUCGGCCACAGCCACUCUCUCCUGCCUUAUUUCUGUUUAACUCUGAGUUUCAGGCAGACAUCUCUGUCCAUGGCUUUGUUUUGUUUUGUUUUUCUGGGGAGAGGGUCUCACUCUGUUGCCCAGGCUGGAGCGUAGUGGUGGGAUCACAGCUCACUGCAGCCUUGAACUUCUGGGCUCAAGUGUCUUCCCGCCUCAGCCUCCAGAGUAGCUGGGACCACAGGUACCCACCACCCCCAUGCCCAGCCCUGAUUUUAAUAGUCACCCUGGAGGGUGACCCUUUCUCUUUUCUGUUUCUGCUUCUCCCAAGUUCCUCAGAUCCCCUAAUUCAUUAAUUCAUUCAUUCUUUCAUUUAUCCAUCCAUGAAAGCUCUCUUCAGUGUCAGAGGAUACAGAAAUGAAUCAGUGUCAGAGGAUGCAGCAGCGGCCUCCUCCUC
rnacentral:lncRNA from 1 species